rnacentral:lncRNA from 1 species
GCAGAUGUUGACUUUACUCCUUUCAAGCCAACGUCAGCUCCCUCCUGUGGAGUGGGGAACAGGCAGGAAAGUGAGAGGGUGGAAGAAUCGAGGAAGAUAACCCUCAUCCUUUCCAAACUGUGAGGGAAGAUAAAGAGGGAAUCUGAAAGGAGUCAGGCACCUAGGCAAAAAAAUUAUUGAUUCCUGGGGAUAAAAGGACCCCAAACAAAAGCCCCAGUGUUGGCUAUGGAACCAGGAUCACGAGGAGGAGGGAAGCAGAGGGUGGGAGCAUGGCUAGUUUUGGUGCCAGCUCUUCUUGUCUGAGGUAAAGCCUCAUCUCUAGCCAGCAGCAUCCCUAGGACUCAAAAGUCAAGUCAGGCUGCUGGUCUGGGGAGAUAGUCCAGAGGCGGCUUCUUGUCCCAUCUGAGCCCCCAAACCUCUGCUUUUAUGCAAGUCUCUUGAAGAAGCUGCCAGGGAGGACUUUCUAGACCCUUAUUCUACAUUCAUUGCUCCAACUUCUCUUCUCUUUUUUCUUCCUCAGGGAUUUUCUUAUGGGCAAAGAAGCCAAGCUGUAGAAGAAAAGAUAAGCGUCACUGCCAAAUGCCUAGACUGGGAACCUUGCCAGUAGCUCUCAGACUUAUCUGAGGCAGAAGACAAGGAGAGCAAGCAGGAGCAACCCUCCCAGGACACUGCCUAUGAGGAUCCACAGGGAGAUGAGGAUAGGCCGGGUCUGAACCACCUCCAAGAGGCUCUGCGUGGACAGAAGAGUAGUUUUCUACAUGCAUCCUAUAACCCAGCUAGCCUCACCCCACAUUAUAUCAAAGCCAGCCCCCAAAUAGAAUAAAUAACCUCCUGCUACUUAAAGGAAAGAAACUGAGGCAGGAAUGGCGGCAGUGGAACACUAGGAUCCUGCUGCCUGAUGGAGAUGCCUUCGUUCUGAAAAAGCCCACGGGUGGCC